rnacentral:rRNA from 1 species
UACGAAGGGGGCUAGCGUUGCUCGGAAUCACUGGGCGUAAAGGGUGCGUAGGCGGGUUUUUAAGUCAGAGGUGAAAUCCUGGAGCUCAACUCCAGAACUGCCUUUGAUACUGGCAAUCUCGAGUCCGGAAGAGGUGAGUGGAACUCCUAGUGUAGAGGUGGAAUUCGUAGAUAUUAGGAAGAACAACCAGUGGCGAAGGGCGGCUCACUGGUCCGGUACUGACGCUGAGGUGCGAAAGCGUGGGAGCAACAGGAUAGAACCUAGA